UACGGAGGGUGCGAGCGUUAAUCGGAAUUACUGGGCGUAAAGCGCACGCAGGCGGUUUGUUAAGCUAGAUGUGAAAGCCCCGGGCUCAACCUGGGACGGUCAUUUAGAACUGGCAGACUAGAGUCUUGGAGAGGGGAGUGGAAUUCCAGGUGUAGCGGUGAAAUGCGUAGAUAUCUGGAGGAACAUCAGUGGCGAAGGCGACUCCCUGGCCAAAGGCUGACGCUCAUGUGCGAAAGUGUGGGUAGCGAACAGG
rnacentral:rRNA from 1 species